rnacentral:rRNA from 1 species
GACAGAGGGUGCUAGCGUUGUUCGGAAUGACUGGGCGUAAAGGGCGCGUAGGCGGCUUGGUCAGUCCCGUGUGAAAUCCCUCGGCUCAACUGAGGAACUGCACGGGAAACUGCCUGGCUUGAGUUCGGGAGAGGGAAGCGGAAUUCCGGGUGUAGCGGUGAAAUGCGUAGAUAUCCGGAGGAACACCGGUGGCGAAGGCGGCUUCCUGGACCGACACUGACACUGAGGAGCGAAAGCCAGGGGAGCAAACGGG